rnacentral:lncRNA from 1 species
AUUUUGAUACAGGCAUGCAAAGUGAAAUAAUCACAUCAUGGGGAAUGGGGUAUUCAGCCCUUCAAGCAUUUACCCUUUAUGCUAUAAACAAUCCAGUUAUACCCCUAGUUAUUUUAAAAUGUACAGUUAAGUGAUUGUUGACUAUAGUCACUCUGUUGUGCUGUCAAUAGUAGGUCUUAUUCAUUCUUUCUUUUUUCUCAGCAUAGCUUUGGCUAUUCUUUUUUCUCAGGAUAACUUUGGCUUUUGUGGUUCCAUAUACAUUUUAGGAUUGUUUUUUCUAUUUCUGUAAAGAAUGUUAUUGGUAUUUUGAUAGGCAUUACAUGGGAUCCGUAGAUGGCUUUGGUAGUAUGGACAUUUUAACAAUAUUGAUUCUUCCAGUCCAUGAACAUGGAAUAUCUUGUCAUUUUUUGGUGCCGAUAUUGAAUUUUAUCAAAUAUUUUUUCAGCAUCAAUUGGAGUGAUUAUUGUUUUUAUCUUUCACUCUGUUGAUAUGAUGUAUCACAUUGAUUUGCAUAUGUUGGACCAUUUUUGCAUCCCAGGGAUAAAUCUUACUUGGUCAUGGUGAAUGAUAUUUCUAAUGUAUUGUUGAAUUUCGUUUGUAGUAUUUUUUUUGAGAAUUUUUGCAUCAAUACUAAUCAGAGCUAUUGGCCUGUAGUUUUCUUUUUUCUGAUGUGUCUUUGUCUGGUUUUGGUAUCAGGGCAAUACUGGCUUCAAAGAAUGAGUUUGGAAGUAUUCCCUGCUCCUCUAUUUUUGGAAGAGUUUGAGUAAGAUUGGUCUUAGUUCUUUAAAUAUUUGGUAGAAUUCAGCAGUGAAGCCAUGGGUUCCAGGCUUUUCUUGACUGGAAGACUUUUUAUUAUGGCUUCAAUCUUGUUACUUAUUAUUGGUCUGUUCAUGUUUUAUACUUCUUCCUGGUUCAAUCUUGGUAGGUUGCAUGUGUCUAGGAGUUUGUCCAUUUCUUCUAGGCUUUCCAAUUUACUGGCAUACAGUUGCUCACAGUAGCUACUAAUGAUCCUUUGAAUUUCUGCAGUAUCAUUUGUAUUAUCUCCUUUUUCAUUUCUGAUUUUAUUAAUUUGCAUCUUCUCUCUUUUUUCUUACUCUGGCUAAAGGUUUGUCAAUUUUGUUUAACUUUUUAAAAACCCAACUUUUUGUUUCAUUGCUCUUUUGUACUGUUUUCUUUAUUUCUACUCUGAUCUUUAUUACUUCUUUUCUACUAAUUUUGGAUUUGGUUUGCUCUUGAUUUUCUAAUUCUUCAAGAUGUAUCAUUAGAUUAUUUGAAGUUUUUCCUCUUUUUUGAUGUAGACACUUAUGUCCAUAUACUGCCCUCUUAAUACUGCUCUCGCUGUAUCCAGUAGGUUUUGGUAUGUUGUGUUUCCAUUAUCAUUCAGGAGCAUAUUGUUGCAUUUCCAUGUUUUUGUAUGGUUUCCAAAAUUCCUCUUGUUAUUAAUUUCCAGUUUUUUCAUUCAUGGUCAGAUAAGAUGCUUGAUAUGAUUUCAAUUUUU